CUUUACUACCGGACCUCAUCCACCCUGACCAGGUGGGAUUUGUGGAGGGACUGGAGGCCAGGGACAAUACCAUCAAUGCACUCAAUCUAAUCCACGCGGCUAAGAGGAGACCCUCACCCACCCUGCUGGUCUCAACGGACGCAGAGAAGGCGUUCGACAGGGUGGACUGGGCCUUCUUUCUGUCCACACUAGAGAACCUUGGGAUGGGACCACAUAUGAUGGCACGGAUAUUGGCCUUAUACACCAACCCGGCUGCCCUGCCCUACAAGUAAACGGGACACGAGACAGGGAUGCCCGUAUCACCCCUGCUCGACGUCAUCAGCCUGGAGCCGUU